AGCUGUUAUCUUCUUGUACCCUAGCUGUCUGUCACUGACUGAAUGUCUGGCCAAUUAUCUAUAGACUACAUGUAGGCCUACUAACGUUAACAGAAUAUAACUUUUUUUUUAUUUCCUCUAAUUUGUACUCUUACCAUGUAUUUUUUGGGCUUUCCAGUUGACUCCGUCUGGACUUCUCUCGGCUAUAUCGACUAGUAUGUAUCAACACAACUGGUGACCCGCUGAAAAAUUCUCUUUUGGCGCGUUUCCACCAGAGGGUGCGUUCGGUUCGGUUCGCAAAGUUGCGGCACGGUUCGCGUUUCCACCGCCAAAAGUGGGCGUGACAUGGGGAUAAAAACAUGCCGCGAGGUAUUAUUCUGGACAAUGGACAUGUCGCGUAAAACGUUAGCUUGCGCGAACAAGGUGGUGGAGCAUGGACCUAUUAAAGAAGACAAUACUUUAUUAAAGCAUGCAAUUGUGAUGUAGAACAAAAUAAAAAGAAAACAAAGUGCUUGCAUGAUAUUGAAGCCUACAGCGAUCGUUAGUUAACUUGUGUGGUGCUCUGUUCGUUUGUAUAUUUUAUUGACGUGACCAUAUUUUUGUUAUGUUUGUUUUGGGAAUCAGUUCUCGUCGUUCACCUUCGGGAUGUUUACGUAGCUGCCGCGGCGAUCGACAUCCGGCCUACCAUGAGGGUACUGUCGGCGGUGGAAACGAGGCAUUUAAAGGCUCCGCUGGGCUCACGCUUGGCCGUUUCAGAUGGUA